GACGAACGCUGGCGGCGUGCUUAACACAUGCAAGUCGAACGAAGUGGCGAACGGGUGAGUAAUACGUGGGUAACCUGCCCUCCUUUUUGGGAUAAACCUUGCAAACGGGGUCUAAUACCGAAUAUAGGGGGAUGGGCUCGCGGCGUAUCAGCUUGUUGGUGGGGUGAUGGCCUACGAAGGCGGUGAAGGGUAGCCGGCCGGUGAGGGUGACCGGCCACAUGGGGACUGAGAGACGGCCCAGACUCCUACGGGAGGCAGCAGUGGGGGAGAUUGCACAAUGGACGAAAGCCUGAUGCAGCGACGCCGCGUGGGGGAUGAAGGCUUUCGGGUUGUAAAGUACUUUCGGCGGGGAGGCGGUACCCGCAGAAGAAGCACCGGCUAACUACGUGCCAGCAGCCGCGGUAAUAC
rnacentral:rRNA from 1 species